GGCAAACCUUUCCCCAGAGAGAGAUUUGGGCAACAGUGUAUGCAAAACCUAGUUCAUGAGUCUGAGUGCUGGCUCCAGAAAGUGAAGGAUUCCGUGCUCCGUGAGCUUUCCAGGCGAUCGGGAUUCAUGCAGGGGGAGAAAAGAGACUUGUCCCAAAAACACAGAGAAGAGCUGAGCAUGUUCUUGGAAGGCAAGAGGGAAAAAGAGGUUCCUUAGGCUUUUGGAUGACCUGGGUGGACAAGCCCAGCUACAGGACAUAGGAAGGCCAAGAGUACACUAAGCUUCUACCAUUUACAGGUUAGAGAAACAACGUAACCUAGUGCUUAGAGCAACCGACUAGGAAGGAGUCAAGACUGUUGGGUACUCUUCCACUAAGCCUCUGUGGAACCUCGGGCAAAUCAUGUCACCUUUGUGGGCCUCAGUGUACCCGGCUAUACAGUUGGUAUAAUACCUCCUUCUCAGGGAUGUUAUGAGGCUUAAACAGUGAAUGAAUACUGAAGAGUACUUGCAGAGUUUCAUUAGUGCUAGGUGCAUUUAUGGCUCUAUGUAGAUGAUGAUGAUGACAUAUUUUUAUUAUUGUUACAAAUUCAGUUCAAGCUGCUGAUAAUUAUUGUGGUUAAAGAUAAACAAACAGCAUCAGUUGGAGGCUUGAGGGGGAAAUUAUUUACAACGAAUGGAACUGUUUGCUUUGUAAUUUCUUUCUUCAUGACUCCUCAGGAGAUCUGGGUGCAAUAUGAGCCAUAUGUGUAAUGUGAGGAAAGCCGAGCUCCGAAGCAGUGUUACGUCUGUAGCGAGGUUCCUGUAUCAGAUCGGGGAAGGUUACUGAGGCAAAAAGGGGUGACCUGGAUCACUCAAUGAAUUUGAUCUCCGUUUCCUUUUGACUCCCAGUCCUUUGCUGUAACUGCUAGACACAUGGUCUUGGAGCCCAUGGGGCUGGAAAAGAUCUCUGGGCCCAUAUUCCUCCAGGGGUGCAGGAUUCUCUGCUACAAUGAACCUCUCUACUUGUUUUCACCGAUCAACUCAUUAACUUCUCCAGUAACAGAGCCUCCCCUCAGCACAAUGUUCCAAUGUCAAUAUGACCUCAUUUGGGGGAAUAUUUUCCUGACACUGCUGUCUGUUGGACUACUAGACAUCAAACCUGUUUUCACUGGGGACCACACAGAUUCUUGGGCCCAUGUCUCCACAUUUACUGUCAACACACAAAGUACCAUUAGCCACCCUCUUUCUUACUUAUGGGUUCCCACACUGUCCCCUCAUUGAGCCGACUAAACCUACCCAGUCACUGCCAAAGCACUUGCCACCCACCAACAAGCACUGCCCUAUAAACCACACGCAACCACUCCAUCCUGUCAUCUACAGCCCCAGUUUAUGUUUAUGUUAAUUAGAGAGUGGCUUGAAUCAAAACCUCAGAUGAGCCUAAACCAAUAACUUUAUAUCGCUACAGUAGACUGCAUCAAAAUCCUGGACCUGAAUGCUCUUAAAUUUCAGGAAUUUGGAGUGGAUUAUAUAGAUUAUAAAGAUAUUAUAAAGUUAUAUAGAUUCAAAAUCUGAAUGCAGAUUUCCCACAAAAUCUGGAGUGGAUAAAGUCAGUGUUUGGAUUGUCUCAUUAAAGAGAGAGAUUUAAGCUGUGAACCUAGAUCUUCCCAAGGGACUAACUCACCAUUUGUGGUGUUAACGAUGCCAUCAGAGACUGCAGAGUAUUUUCAGUGGGUGGUGGUGUUUUUUUUUUAAAGAAAUGUGAAGUUAUAACCUUUCUCUUUCCAUGACGUUCAGGCUUAUGAGGCCCAUUAUGUAUGGUUAACUGCAAACUAAACAACACUGAUUCAGCCUAGAGAUUAUCCUUGGUCUGUAAAUAACAAGUCUGUCUCAUUCUCUUAUUUUGUGACAUGUCUAAAUCAUUGGAACUGAUGCAAAAUAGAAAGCACAAGCUGAUGACUGUAAAUAAAAUGGGAAAUUUGAGUCAGAUACUCCCUACAAGUCAGUGGAAACAAGCCAGAUAAAUUCCGAAUUAUGACAGUGGAGGUUGACAGGUCCUGGCAGCUUCAAUGUUGGUUAUAAGGCCAAUAGAGCAGAAGAUUGACUAAUAGUGUCACACUGGGCAUCCUCAUCAAUUUGCACACAGGCCAAGUGGGGAGAUCUCCCAGCCAAAUCCUCCACUAUGAUGAACAGAAGAAGGCUUUGCCCUGCAGUGGAGCUGGGGAUUGGUGGAUGGAUGGAAGGACAAGAACAGCGGUGAAAUGGCCUUCGUCCCAUAAUGAGCUAAUAAUGAAAAAAUAAACAGAAUAAUCCUUUCCCCCUCUCCCUACAAAAUGACUGGCAUGUAACAAGCAGCCAUGAAUUAAUUGGCUUUGUCUCUAGGACAAAGAUUUCCUUUGACAGGGAUUUGUGACCAUUUCUAAACAAAUGGCUCAAUAAAUAUUUUGUAAAGCCUAUAGAUGUGCAACUGUGUAACCUUUGCAAGUAGCCUGUCCCUUUUCCUGGAUUUCUGGGGUGUGUCACUGGGAG